rnacentral:lncRNA from 1 species
CCCUCUCCCUCUCCCUCUCCCUCUCCCCACGGUCUCCCUCUCCCUCUCUUUCCACGGUCUCCCUCUCAUGCUGAGCCGAAGCUGGACUGUACUGCUGCCAUCUCGGCUCACUGCAACCUCCCUGCCUGACUCUCCUGACUCAGCCUGCCGAGUGCCUGUGAUUGCAGACUCGCGCCGCCACGCCUGACUGGUUUUGGUGGAGACGGGGUUUCGCUGUGUUGGCCAGGCCGGUCUCCAGCCCCUAACCGCACGUGAUCCACCAGCCUCGGCCUCCUGAGGUGCCGGGAUUGCAGAUGGAGUCUCGUUCACUCAGUGCUCAAUGGUGCCCAGGCUGGAGUGCAGUAGCGUGAUCUCGGCUCGCUACAACCUCCACCUCCCAGCCGCCUGCCUUGGCCUCCCAAAGUGCCGAGAUUGCAGCCUCUGCCCGGCCGCCACCCCGUCUGGGAAGUGAGGAGCAUCUCUGCCUGGCCGCCCAUCAUCUGGGAUGUGAGGAGCCCCUCUGCCUGGCUGCCCAGUCUGGAAAGUGAGGAGCGUCUCCGCCCGGCCGCCAUCCGACCUAGGAAGUGAGGAGCACCUCUGCCCGGCCGCCAUCACAUCUAGGAAGUGAGGAGCGUCUCUGCCCGGCCGCCCAUUGUCUGAGAUGUGGGGAGCGCCUCUGCCCCGCCGCCCCGUCUGGGAUGUGAGGAGCACCUCUGCCCGGCCGCAACCCCGUCUGGGAGGUGAGGAGCAUCUCUGCCCGGCCGCCCCGUCUGAGAAGUGAGGAGCCCCUCCGCCUGGCAGCCGCCCCGUCUGGGAAGUGAGGAGCCCCUCCGCCCGGCAGCCGCCCCGUCUGGGAAGUGAGGAGCGUCUCCGCCCGGCAGCCACCCCAUCCGGGAGGGAGGUGGGGGGGUCAGCCCCCCGCCCCACCAGCCGCCCCAUCCGGGAGGGAGGUGGGGGGGUCAGCCCCCUGCCCGGCCAGCCGCCCAUCCGGGAGGGAGGUAGGGGGGUCAGCCCCCCGCCAGGCCAGCCGCCCCGUCCGGGAGGGAGGUGGGGGCAUCAGCCCCCCGCCCGGCCAGCCGCCCCGUCCAGGAGGGAGGUGGGGGGGUCAGCCCCCCGCCCGGCCAGCUGCCCCGUCCAGUAGGUGAGGGGCGCCUCUGCCCGGCCGCCCCUACUGGGAAGUGAGGAGCCCCUCUGCCCGGCCAGCCGCCCAGUCCGGGAGGGAGGUGGGGGGGUCAGCCCCCCGCCCGGCCAGCCGCCCCGUCCGGGAGGGAGGUGGGGGGGGUCAGCCCCCCGCCCGGCCAGCCCCCCCAUCCGGGAAGUGAGGGGCGCCUCUGCCCGGCCGCCCCUACUGGGAACUGAGGAGCCCCUCUGCCCGGCCACCACCCCGUCUGGGAGGUGUGCCCAACAGCUCAUUGAGAACGAGCCAGGAUGACAAUGGCGGCUUUGUGGAAUAGAAAGGCAGGAAAGGUGGGGAAAAGAUUGAGAAAUCGGAUGGUUGCCGUGUCUGUGUAGAAAGAAGUAGACAUGGGAGACUUUUCAUUUUGUUCUGUACUAAGAAAAAUUCUUCUGCCUUGGGAUCCUGUUGAUCUAUGACCUUACCCCCAACCCUGUGCUCUCUGAAACAUGUGCUGUGUCCACUCAGGGUUGAAUGGAUUAAGGGCAGUGCAAGAUGUGCUUUGUUAAACAGAUGCUUGAAGGCAGCAUGCUCGUUAAGAGUCAUCACCACUCCCUAAUCUCAAGUACCCAGGGACACAAACACUGCGGAAGGCCGCAGGGUCCUCUGCCUAGGAAAACCAGAGACCUUUGUUCACUUGUUUAGCUGCUGACCUUCCCUCCACUAUUGUCCUAUGACCCUGCCAAAUCCCCCUCUGUG